rnacentral:lncRNA from 1 species
UAGAAUAUUAUGCUCAGAUGUUUUUAAUAUUGAAUAUAAAUUAUAUAUAUGUAUAUACAUUUUUUGUGAAAUAAAAAAUAUAUAAUCGUAUCGGGCCGGACCUGCACUACGGGCCGAGGCUACAUCCCAAGCACGUCACGACAUUCUUGGCUCUUGCAAACAUUAGAUCGUUUCUGAGACCACAUUGGCGCAAUGGACUCCAUGGUGUUUGAGGUUGCUGAAUUGGAUGGAGCAACAAUAAUUUGUCACACUAACAGUAAAAUGAAAGGUUAUUUGUUAGUUUUAAACGUUAGUAAUUGCUACGAAGUAGCAUAAUUUAUAUGGAGCUAAGAAGUCACAUGAACUCAAACUUAUAAAAAAGAUAUAUCAAAAUAUGGAGUGAUUGCUAAAGUCAGACAUCAAUAAAAACUUUCUCUUAGGUCUCUGUAUGAUAGAAUUAUGUUAUUUUAUAAUCUAUGUUCGUUCAGUCAGUCAUUAUGAACUCUCUUCUAAUCGCUCACUUUAUUGGUCAUGUUAUAUUGGAUUGAGUAAAUAAUAACAUCAGUUAGCCAAAUUUUUUAAAAAAUAUUAUAGUGGAGACAAUCAAUAAAAAAUAUUAAAUUUUUUGGUGGAUACUUUAUAUGGAUAUUGUUGUAAGCCGUCGCAACGCACGGGCAAUCGACUAGUUUAAAUAUAUAUGCCAGUGUCAUACUAUUUUAGGCUAUUCCCAGUCCAAAAUAUUAUAGUCCAAUAUCCAAUAAUGCCACAUAGGAUGAAAAGUAUGAUACCGCUACAAGAUACACCUUCUGUAGUGUAUAGUAUUAUAGUUAUAUGUUUUAAUUAUUUAAUUGGUGUGAUGUUGUGUCUAUGAGAACGGACCCCAAGUAUUAUUUUUUGUGCCACAACCUAAGAUAUGGUGUCUGUCGGGGAGGAAAUCUCCCCGGCCGGGUGGCGAAUUGCACCCGCCCUAAAUCCUAAAGAGAGGAGGGGCCUAAGCGUUUUGCUUGCUACGAGACUGGUGGAUCAACACACGAGAGCACGCGAGGGUUUAGAGUGGUUCGGGCCGCCGGAGCGUAAUACCCUACUCCACUGUGUGAUGUAUUGCUUAGGAGCUUGUAUGAACUUGAGAGUGUCUGCCUAGAGUUGGGUCUCGUAACGUCGCAUGCAUCCCCUUUUAUAGCUGAAGGGGGGCAUGCACAAAGGCACUGAGCCCCGAAAUGUGGGUCCAGGGACAUAGAGAAUAUAACGCUUGGGACUAUAAAUAUUUGUUGUCGGGGCAAUCCCCUUGUGUCCUGUCGUCCGAGAUCUGUGGAUCUUCGGCGUGCAGGGGAAGAUUCUUGUAGAAGGGAUAACACAUUGUGCUGCUUGGCACGGACGCACUGUUCGCCAGCAGACCCAGCAGGCGCGCCACCUGCUGGAUGACCUUGACGCCGCCUGCCAGCGGAUGGGACGGGACACAUUAAAUGUUGAAAGGGCACGUCGCCCGUCAGCGCAGUGACAGGCGGCGCGUCCUCUCCUCAAUAAAUGCAGGGGCUACACGGCUUUACGUCAGGCUCGGCCCGAUGGCUUAUGUCAUGGGCCACAAGCAGCGGGCCUUCGCCUGGGCAGGGAGCAGAGAGCAAGGCCUGCACAUGUGUCGGCAUUGGACCCAUGUAUCCCCCAAGGUCCUUCUCGUUCCGGAACCCUGCCGGGGUUCGGACCUACCCUGGGGCUCCGGACCUUUAUGUAUAUAGGGGCCCGGUGACCCUCUAAGGGGGUUUGGUCUUACUGAGGCAUGGUGCCUUUCCUCGCCAUGUGACGCCCUUUGGCCCGCCCAUCCGGUGGAGUUAGGCGCGGUCCUCCGCGCGGCCAGGAGACGUCGCAGGGGUGCGAUGCCUUUAUGCUGUAGGAGAGGGUACCCCUGAUUUAGGGUACCGACAGUGGCCCCCGGUCCCGCCUCAGGGGAGGGUGCGAGCCUGCAUGUGGGACCAGAGUCUGUCUGGUGGUUGGACCGCUGCUUCCGUGCGCCUGUUGCUGCAAUUAUUGUCGGCCCGCUUAUGACCCCGCCAACUGCCGUGCCUAUUCUUACAGCUGGCUGAUCCGUGACUGUCGUACUUAACGACAUUGCUUGGCCAUGCGCGGGGCUGCCUCGAGUCGCUGCACUGGUUCUGAAAAAUUUACCUUUUCAGAAUUCGUGACAGUCCCGAGAAGACAAGGCAUUGGCGCAGGCGGCGAUGCGGCUUCUUUGCACACGGUAACCGGUGCGUCGGUUACAUGACGUGUGGGCCUGGGCCCCUGAGUUGGACCGCCAGUUGUGGCGGAGCUGAGGGAGCGCACAGCCAUGGGACGGUUGUACGCUUCUUGCGCGACGGUUUGCCUCUUUGACCGCUGGAUACGGCGAAGAUGAAAGGACGCUUAAUCGUGGGGCGGUUGCAUGCCCCUUGCACGGCGGUCCGCCUUCCUAACUGCUAGUUGCCCCGAAAAUGAAGGGGCGCGUAACCGCAGGGCAGUCGCACGCUCCCUCUUAGGGUCAGUUUGCAUGACAUGUGGGGCCUGGCCCCCAUGUCAUAAGGUGGGAUCCUUGGUGCACACUGGGGGAGACUUCACUCGUGACGCUUCAGGGGCGCGAGCGGGAAGAUCUGCCUUUAAAAAGGGGGUCGAUCUCCCGGUCAGUAGUCAUGCCUCGCUCCUCUUGCGACCACCGCACCCUUUCGCCUUCUGGGCCUCCAAAUGGUGUGCGCCGGUGUUCUCUGGAGGGAUCCGCGGCAAGGCCGUCUCUUCCGACGACUUCACCAUGGGAGAGCGUGCACUCGUGGUGGUGUCGCCGAUCUUGUCUUCUUUCCGCUGCUGUUGGAGGGGUGCAACCCCAUGGGAGUUGGUAUCCUUCUACCACCAUUUGGCUUCAAGGAUUUUCAUCAUGCAGCCCGGCUGUAGUCCCCCGCCGAUGGUCACCCAGAAGAAUGACCACCAGCCUCGUGGUGGGGAGAAGCAAGCCUGAAAGGGAAAUGUGCCCUUGGGCCAUUUCUAAGUAUUUUGGUGAUUUAGUGUCCAACACAAGUGCCUAAGUGUUAAAUGGUGGACAAAGUACAAAUCGAGUAUAAAGGUAUGUUUCUCAGACUUAGUACAUUGUUUUAGAGACUAAUGUAUUGUGUCUAAGUGCUGGAAAUAGGAUAAUCAAGUUGAAACUAAAGAUGGCUUUGUUCAGCCAAAGUCAGCCCUGUCUGGGUGCACCGGACUGUCCGGUGGUGCAACAGACAGUGUCCGGUGGUGCACCGGACAUUGUCCGGUGGUGCACCGGACAUUGUCCGGUGCGCCAGGCUAGCUCAGGCGAACUUGCUGCUCUCGGGAAGUGAUUAACAGCGUACGACUAUAAUUCACCGGACUGUCCGGUGUGCACCGGACUGUCCGGUGAGCCAACGGUCGGCCGGGCCAACGGUCGGCCGUACGAUCCGCGCGAGACACGUGGUCGAGCCAACGGUCAGAAGGGGGCACCGGACUGUCUGGUGUGCACCGGACAGUGUCCGGUGCGCCAACGGCUCUCAAGUGCCAACGGUCGGCUUCGCCAAAGAAGGAAAGAAAUCCGCACCGGACAGUGUCCGGUGGUGCACCGGACUGUCCGGUGCGCCAGGCGACAGAAGGCAAGAAUUGCCUUCUUGAAUUGCUCUCAAUGGCUCCUAGCUGCCUUGGGGCUAUAAAAGGGACCCCUAGGCGCAUGGAGGAGAACACCAAGCAUUCUCUAAGCAUUCCUAAGCACCAAGACUUCGAUUCCGCGCAUUUGAUUCUUUGUGAUAGCAAUUGGAGCUCUAUUUGAGUUGUGAACUCAUCGAGUUGUGUUGUGAGCUCUUGUUGCGACUUGUGUGCGUGUUGUCGCUCUGAUUUUGUGUCUUGUGUGCGUUGCUCAUCCCUUCCUUACUCUGUGCUUCUUUGUGAACAUCAAAGUGUAAGGGCGAGAGACUCCAAGUUGUGGAGAUUCCUCGCAAGUGGGAUAUAGUAAAGUGAAAGCAAAACACCGUGGUAUUCAAGUGGGUCUUUGGACCGCUUGAAAGGGGUUGAUUGCAACCCUCGUCCAUUGGGACGCCACAACGUGGAGUAGGCAAGUGUUGGACUUGGCUGAACCACGGGAUAAACCACUGUGCCACCUCUGUGUUGAUCUCUUUGUGGUUAUCGUGUUGUGCAAGCUCUCUUCUCUAGCCACUUGGCUUAAUUGUGCUAACUCCUAAUCAAGUUUUGUGGAUUAAGUUUCAAGUUUUCAUAGGAUCACCUAUUCACCCCCCCUCUAGGUGCUCUCAAUUGGUAUCGGAGCCAUUCUCUUCAAGAAAGGGACUAAUCGCCCGAAGAGAUGGAUCCUAAGGGCAAGGGGAUUGUGAUCAAUGAUAAGGAGAAGGAGUCCUUCGUCAACGAGCCAAAAGAUGACAAGCCUACCAACUCGGGCUCGGGCCACAAACGAAAAGAUGGAAAGAAGAAGAAGACGAGGCACAUCAAGGAGAUUGUCUACUACGACGACAGCGACGAGUCCUCUUCUUCCCAAAAGGACGACGACAACGACUACGAGAAAAAGAAGACGGUUAACUCAAACUUCUCUUUCAAUUAUUCUCGUAUUCCGCAUAGCUCAAAUGCACAUUUGCUUUCCAUUCCUCUUGGCAAACCUCCUCAUUUUGAUGGAGAGGACUACGGAUUUUGGAGUCACAAAAUGCGUAGUCACUUGUUCUCUCUCCAUCCUAGUAUAUGGGAGAUAGUAGAGAGUGGAAUGAAAUUUGAUAGCUCAGAUAGUCCGUUGUUUAUCAAUGAACAGAUUCAUAAAAAUGCACAAGCUACUACUGUGUUGUUAGCCUCAUUGUGCAGGGACGAGUACCAUAAGGUGAGCGGCUUGGACAAUGCCAAGCAGAUUUGGGACACCCUCAAGAUCUCACAUGAGGGGAACGACGUCACCAUGCUCACCAAGAUGGAGUUGGUGGAAGGCGAACUCAGGAGAUUCGCGAUGAUAAGAGGGGAGGAGCCAACCCAGACGUACAACAGGCUCAAAACUCUCGUCAACAAGAUAAGGAGCUAUGGAAGCACGCGAUGGACGGACCAUGACGUUGUCCGCCUAAUGCUAAGGUCCUUUACCGUCCUUGAUCCACAUCUUGUGAACAAUAUUCGUGAGAAUCCUAGGUACACGAAGAUGACGCCCGAGGAGAUCCUUGGAAAGUUCGUAAGCGGACGGAUGAUGAUCAAGGAGGCUAGAUACGUCGACGAUGCAUUAAAUGGCCCAAUCCAAGAGCCUCAAACUAUUGCUCUCAAGGCAACAAGGAGCAAGGAGGCGCUACCUAACAAGGUGGCGCAAGUUGAGGCGGUCGGGCUUAAUGAUGAAGAGAUGGCCCUCAUCAUCAAGCGGUUCAAGACGGCGCUAAAGGGUCGCAAGGAGCACCCCAACAAGAACAAGACGAAAGGGAAGCGCUCCUGCUUCAAAUGUGGUAAGAUUGGUCAUUUUAUCUCUAAUUGUCCCGAUAAUGAUAGUGACCAGGAAAAGAAGAGUGGAAAGUGGGAAAAGAAGAAGAACUACAAGAAGGCGAAGGACGAGGCACAUCUUGGAAAGGAGUGGGAUUCGGAUUGCUCCUCGUCCGACUCCGACAACGAAGGACUCACCGCCACCGCCUUCAACAAGUCAUCCCUCUUCCCCAACGAGCAUCAUACUUGCCUCAUGGCAAGGGAAAAGAAGGUAAGCACUCGUAAUACUAGUACUUAUGCUUCUUCAAGUGAGGAUGAGUCUAGUGAUGAUGAUGAAAUAGAUUAUUCAUGUUUAUUCAAGGGCCUAGAUAGAACUAAGGUUGAUAAAAUUAAUGAAUUAAUUGAUGCCUUGAAUGAUAAGAAUAGGUUAUUAGAAAAGCAAGAGGAUCUUUUGUAUGAAGAGCAUGAUAAAUUUGUUAGUGCACAAAAUUCUCUUGCUCUAGAAGUUAAAAGGAAUGAAAUGCUUUCUUGUGAAUUAUCUACUUGUCAUGAAACCAUUUCUACUUUAAAAGGUGUUAAUGAUGAUUUAAAUGCUAAACUAGAAGUAGCAAAUAAAUCUAACUCUUGUGUAGAACAUGUUAUGAUUUGCACUAGGUGUAAAGAUUUUAACGUUGAUGAUUGUAAUGAACACCUAGUUUCAAUUUCUAAAUUGAAUGAUGAAGUGGCUAGUCUUAAUGCCCAACUUAAGACUAGCAAGAGUGAAUUUGAUAAACUAAAAUUUGCAAGGGAUGCCUACACAGUUGGUAGACACCCCUCAAUUAAGGAUGGCCUUGGCUUCAAGAGGGAAGCCAAGAACUUGACAAGUCAUAAGGCUCCCAUCUCCAUCAAGGAGAAAGGGAAGGCCCCUAUGGCUAGUAGUGCUCAAAAGAACCAUGCCUUCAUGUAUCAUGAUAGGAGACAUUCUAGAAAUGUUUAUAGAAGUUAUGAUGCUUUUAAUUCUCAUACCAUGGUUGCUUCUAGUUCUUCUAUUAUGCAUGAUAGAAAUUUAGCUAGGAGAAAUGUUAUUAAUCACAUGCCUAGAAGAAAUGUUGUUCAUGUUUCUAGGAAAAUAAUAAAUGAACCUUCUACAAUUUAUCAUGCUUGCAAUGCUUCAUUCGAAAUUUGUAGAAAGGAUAGAAAAGUGAUUGCUAGGAAACUAGGGGCAAAAUGCAAGGGUGAUAAAACUUGCAUUUGGGUCCCUAAGGAUAUUGUCACUAACCUUGUAGGACCCAACAAGAGUUGGGUACCUAAGACCCAAGUCUAAAUUUGCCUUGCAGGUUUAUGCAUCCGGGGGAUCAAGCUGGAUUAUCGACAGCGGAUGCACAAACCACAUGACGGGGGAGAAGAAGAUGUUUACCUCCUACGUCAAGAACAAGGAUUCCCAAGAUUAAAUAAUAUUUGGUGAUGGGAAUCAAGGCAAGGUGAAAGGGUUAGGGAAAAUUGCUAUUUCAUCUGAGCACUCUAUUUCUAAUGUGUUUUUAGUUGAGUCGCUUGGAUAUAAUUUGUUAUCUGUUAGUCAAUUAUGCAGUAUGGGAUAUAAUUGUCUAUUCACAAAUGUAGAUGUGUCUGUCUUUAGAAGAAGGUGAUGGUUCAUUAGCUUUUAAGGGUGUAUUAGACGACAAACUCUAUUUAGUUGAUUUUGCAAAAGAGGAGGCCGGUCUAGAUGCAUGCUUAAUUGCUAAGACUAGCAUGGGCUGGCUGUGGCAUCGCCGCUUAGCACAUGUGGGGAUGAAGAACUUUCACAAGCUUCUAAAGGGAGAACACGUGAUAGGUCUAACUAAUGUUACCUUCGAAAAAGAUAGACCUUAUGCAGCUUGUCAAGCAGGGAAACAAGUGGGAAGCUCUCAUCAUGCCAAAAAUGUGAUGACAACAUCAAGACCCCUGGAGUUACUUCAUAUGGACCUCUUCGGACCCGUCGCCGAUCUAAGCAUAGGAGGAAGUAAGUAUGGUCUUGUUAUAGUUGAUGAUUUUUCCCGCUUCACUUGGGUAUUCUUUUUGCAGGAUAAAUCUGAAACCCAAGGGACCCUCAAGCGCUUCCUAAGGAGAGCUCAAAACGAGUUUGAGCUCAAGGUGAAGAAGAUCAGAAGCGACAAUGGGUCCGAGUUCAAGAACCUUCAAGUGGAGGAGUAUCUUGAGGAGGAAGGAAUCAAGCACGAGUUCUCCGCUCCCUACACACCACAGCAAAAUGGUGUGGUAGAGAGGAAGAACAGGACACUUAUAGACAUGGUGAGGACGAUGCUUGGAGAGUUCAAGACACCCGAGCGCUUUUGGGCGGAAGCCAUGAACACGGCUUGCCACGCCAUCAACCGGGUCUACCUUCAUCGCCUCCUCAAGAAGACUUCGUAUGAGCUACUAACCGGUAACAAACCCAAUGUUUCGUAUUUCCGAGUUUUUGGGAGUAAAUGCUACAUUCUAGUGAAGAAGGGUAGGAAUUCCAAAUUUGCUCCCAAAGCAGUAGAAGGGUUUUUGUUAGGUUAUGACUCAAAUACAAAGGCGUAUAGGGUCUUCAACAAAUCAUCGGGUUUGGUUGAAGUCUCUAGCGACGUUGUAUUUGAUGAGACUAAUGGCUCUCCAAGAGAGCAAGUUGUUGAUCUUGAUGAUGUAGAUGAAGAAGACGUUCCAACGGCCGCAAUGCGCACCAUGGCGAUUGGAGAUGUGAGGCCAAUGGAACAAAAGGAGCAAGAUCAACCUUCUUCCUCAACAACAGUGCAUCCCCCAACUCAAGAAGAUGAACAGGUUCAUCAAGAGGAGGCGUGUGAUCAAGGGGGAGCACAAGAUGUUCAUGUGAUAGAGGAAGAAGCGCAACCGGCACCUCCAACUCAAGUUCGAGCGACGAUUCAAAGGGUAGAAGAGGCCUUGCUAGAUCCGGACUGGGUGUUGGCCAUGCAAGAGGAGCUCAACAACUUCAAGAGAAAUUAAGUUUGGACACUGGUGCCUCGUCCCAAGCAAAAUGUUGUGGGAACAAAGUGGGUGUUCCGCAACAAACAAGACGAGCACGGAGUGGUGACAAGGAACAAGGCACGACUUGUGGCAAAAGGUUAUGCCCAAGUCGCAGGUUUGGACUUUGAGGAGACUUUUGCUCCUGUGGCUAGGCUAGAGUCCAUUCGUAUAUUGCUAGCGUAUGCCGCUCACCAUUCUUUCAGGCUGUUCCAAAUGGAUGUGAAGAGCGCUUUCCUCAACGGGCCAAUCAAGGAGGAGGUGUACGUGGAGCAACCCCUGGCUUUGAGGAUGAACGGUACCCCGACCACGUAUAUAAGCUCUCUAAGGCGCUCUAUGGACUUAAGCAAGCCCCAAGAGCAUGGUAUGAAUGCCUUAGAGACUUUUUAAUUGCUAAUGCUUUCAAGGUUGGGAAAGCCGAUCCAACUCUUUUUACUAAGACUUGUGAUGGUGAUCUUUUUGUGUGCCAAAUUUAUGUCGAUGACAUAAUAUUUGGUUCUACUAACCAAAAGUCUUGUGAAGAGUUUAGCAGAGUGAUGACUCAAAAGUUUGAGAUGUCAAUGAUGGGCGAGUUAAGCUACUUCCUUGGGUUCCAAGUGAAACAACUCAAGGAUGGGACCUUCAUCUCACAAUCGAAGUACACGCAAGACUUGAUCAAGCGAUUUGGGAUGAAGGAUGCCAAGCCCGCAAAGACUCCAAUGGGAACCGACGGACACACCGACCUCUACAAAGGAGGUAAGUCCGUUGAUCAAAAGGCAUACCGGUCUAUGAUAGGGUCUUUACUUUAUUUAUGUGCUAGUAGACUGGAUAUUAUGCUUAGUGUAUGCAUGUGUGCUAGAUUUCAAUCCGAUCCAAGGGAUUGUCACUUAGUGGCUGUGAAGCGAAUUCUUAGAUAUUUAGUCGCUACGCCUUGCUUCGGGAUCUAGUAUCCAAAGGGGUCUACCUUUGACUUGAUUGGAUAUUUAGACCCCGACUAUGCUGGAUGUAAGGUCGAUAGGAAGAGUACAUCGGGGACGUGCCAAUUCUUAGGAAGGUCCCUGGUGUCGUGGAGUUCAAAGAAACAAACUUCUGUUGCCCUAUCCACCGCUGAGGCCGAGUACGUUGCCGCAGGACAGUGUUGCGCGCAACUACUUUGGAUGAGGCAAACCCUCAGGGACUUUGGCUACAAUUUGUGCAAAGUCCCACUCCUAUGUGAUAAUGAGAGUGCUAUCCGCAUGGCGGAUAAUCCUGUUGAACAUAGCCGCACAAAGCACAUAGACAUCCGGCAUCACUUUUUGAGAGACAACCAGCAAAAGGGAGAUAUCGAAGUGUUUCAUGUUAGCACCGAGAACCAGCUAGCCGAUAUCUUUACCAAGCCUCUAGAUGAGAAGACCUUUUGCAGGUUGCAUAGUGAGCUAAAUGUCUUAGAUUCGCGGAACUUGGAUUGAUGUGUAGCAUACAUGUGUUUUAUGCCUUGAUCAUGUUCCUUAAUGCAUUUUGUUGAUUAAUUAUGGUGCUCAAGUUGUACAAGCACUCCCCGGACCUCACAAGUCCAUUUGCAAGUGAUGCACAUAUUUAGGGGGAGUUGUGCUACAACUUGACCCUUUGAGACUAACUGUGUGCUUGAGUUUGCUUAAUUUAGUCUCAAAGGAGGUUGAAAGGGAAAAGGUGGACUUGGACCAUGCAAGACCUCCACUGCACUCCGAUGAAAGAGUAACUGAUUCCAAGUUCAUCUUUGUACUCUUAUUGCCUUUUUUACUCUUAGUUGAAGAUUUUGGUGAGGCAAUGGGGUUAAAGGGCCAAAAUUGAUCCCGUUUUGGUGCUUGAUGCCAAAGGGGGAGAAAAUAAGGCCAAAGCAAGGAAAUGGAUCAGCUACCACUUGAGAAUUUUGAAAAAGAAGAGUUAGAGUUUUUGUUUGUCAAAAUACUCCUGUUUGUCUCUUAUUGUCAAAAGUUGGUCUCUUGUGGGGGAGAAGGCUUAAUUAUGGGAAAAAGGGGGAGUUUUUGAACUCUUUGAUGAAUUUCUCUUGAAAUAUCUCUCUUUAUGUUUCAACAAGUGUGUUUAGAAAUUGAGUUUGAUUUGCAAAAACAAACCAAGUGGUGGCAAAGAAUGAUCCAUAUAUGUCAAAUCUGAAUCAAAACAAUUUUGAGUUCUUAGUUGAAUUGAUUUUGCACUUGUUCUACUUACUUUAUGUUGUGUUGGCAUAAAUCACCAAAAAGGGGGAGAUUGAAAGGGAAAUGUGCCCUUAGGCCAUUUCUAAGUAUUUUGGUGAUUUAGUGUCCAACACAAGUGCCUAAGUGUUAAAUGGUGGACAAAGUACAAAUCGAGUAUAAAGGUAUGUUUCUUAGACUUAGUACAUUGUUUUAGAGACUAAUGUAUUAUGUCUAAGUGCUGGAAACAGGAUAAUCAAGUUGAAACUAAAGAUGGCUUUGUUCAGCCAAAGUCAACUCUGUCUGGGUGCACCGGACUGUCCGGUGGUGCACCGGACAGUGUCCGGUGCGCCAGGCUAGCUCAGGCAAACUUGCUGCUCUCGGGAAGUGAUUAACGGCGUACGACUAUAAUUCACCGGACUGUACGGUGUGCACCGGACUGUCCGGUGAGCCAACGGUCGGCCGGGCCAACGGUCGGCCGCGCGAUUCGCGCGAGACACGUGGCCGAGCCAACGGUUAGAAGGGGGCACCGGACUGUCCGGUGUGCACCGGACAGUGUCCGGUGCGCCAACGGCUCUCAAGUGCCAACGGUCGGCUUCGCCGAAGAAGGAAAGAAAUCCGCACCGGACAGUGUCCGGUGCGCCAGGCGACAGAAGGCAAGAAUUGCCUUCUUGAAUUGCUCUCAACGGCUCCUAGCUGCCUUGGGGCUAUAAAAGGGACCCCUAGGCGCAUGGAGGAGAACACCAAGCAUUCUCUAAGCAUUCCUAAGCACCAAGACUUCGAUUCCGCGCAUUUGAUUCUUUGUGAUAGCAAUUGGAGCUCUAUUUGAGUUGUGAACUCAUCGAGUUGUGUUGUGAGCUCUUGUUGCGACUUGUGUGCGUGUUGUCGCUCUAAUUUUGUGUCUUGUGUGCGUUGCUCAUCCCUUCCUUACUCCGUGCUUCUUUGUGAACAUCAAAGUGUAAGGGCGAGAGACUCCAAGUUGUGGAGAUUCCUCGCAAGUGGGAUAUAGUAAAGUGAAAGCAAAACACCGUGGUAUUCAAGUGGGUCUUUGGACCGCUUGAAAGGGGUUGAUUGCAACCCUCGUCCAUUGGGACGCCACAACGUGGAGUAGGCAAGUGUUGGACUUGGCCGAACCACGGGAUAAACCACUGUGCCACCUCUGUGUUGAUCUCUUUGUGGUUAUCGUGUUGUGCAAGCUCUCUUCUCUAGCCACUUGGCUUAAUUGUGCUAACUCCAAAUCAAGUUUUGUGGAUUAAGUUUCAAGUUUUCACAGGAUCACCUAUUCACCCCCUCUAGGUGCUCUCAAAGCCGGGCUGCGGCUUCCCUCCUGCCCUCAGCUUCAAGGAUGUUCAUCAUCCUCGCUGGGGCGGAAGGCGCGUCGAGCCGGGGUUCUGCCUCCCGUGUGGGCCAGCGGCCCGCUUCUUCCUCCAACAUUUGGGGGAGGAGAGGGGUUCAACAGCCACGCGAAGGAGGCGAACUUCGGCUAUGCGGGGCCGGCCAUGUGCAGGCGCUGACAGCUGCCGCGUGCCUGGCUCUUGGCCUGGGUGGCCCUGUCGCCGCCUCCGACGCUGCCUCCUGCCGUUUGGUCGGGGCGUGGCUGUCCGUCCACCACACGGGCGACCGUCGCGCCGUGCGCGGGUCCGCCACAUCCACGGCUUCUCCCGCGCCGCCGGCCAUACGGGGGGACCGUCCAAGACGCCGUACGUUGCGAGAGUGGUGGUGGCGUUCUUGGAUGGUCUUGUCCUCACUCCGUGGGAGGACGGGAGCGAGGACCUCUUAUGCGGAGGUGGCCGUGGUCGUCGGUGCUGAGGCGGUGGCUGCCGCUGGUGAGGCUGCCCCUUGCAGAGGUGGUUGCCUCCUCUAUCGAGACCAUCAGGGCCACCUGCCACUGAGUCCUUGACUCUUUGGCUUUAAUGGCCUCGUUAUCGCCCCCUAUAGGAGGACGGGGGCGAGGACCUUUCACAGCCGCGCUCACCCUGAGGUGGUCGCUGCUGCUGGCAUACCGCCCAAAGCGGAGGUCGUUGUCGCUGCUGAUGCAGAGGUGGUCGCUGUUGCCGGCGAUCCGUCGAUGCAGAGGUGGUCGCCGCCGCUGGUGAGGCAGCCCGGAGCCAGCUUCCAGCGCGACUCUUGUUGGUGCAGCGUAGUCCAUUCCUGCAGAGAUGGAGCUGGGUCCCGUUUGUAAGGGAAUGUAAUAACAUUUGCUUGAAAGCAAAAUGUAAUAACAUAUGUAUGCAGGAUUUUAGCCUGGGAAACCAAGUUGUGUGUCCGAACCCCCUAGAUGGUGGCUUCAUGUACCAAGACACCUGUCGCAGGGCGGUGGAGUAUGCAGGCUCACGGCACGGGACCAGGCUGAGUGGAUACAUGGCUUCCGGACCCCCCAGGAGACAAGUGUUUGUUCUUCAAAACCGGACCUCCAGUUCGUUGGACGCACAGGACUAUAGUUUUAAAUACUAGAACACCUGUCAUGGAGUGGUGGAGUGUGCAGGGUUUUGGGUACGGAACCAGGCUAACCGGCCACAUAGGCUCUGGACCACCCUAUGGAACAGGCAUCCGUUCCUUAGAACCGACCCCUAGGCCUUCCCCUGUUUUUGUAAAGUAAUAGAUAAUAUCUAUUAAGCAGUAUUUAACACUUAUCUGUGUGUUGCUCGAUCCUGUUGUUAACUUCCCUUGGUACCUGGCCCCCCGCCUGGGGUACAGGCUCGAUGUGUCGAGGCUAGACACCAGCGCGUAUAAAAGAGUUGUCAACGUCCUUCGGGAGGCAGCCUCACCGAGACCUGGAUCUAUACAUAGCUUUAGCUGAAAAGUGUUAGUGAUACACCCGUAGACCCCGUCAUCUGGCAUUUUUCAUCCUUUGAUACAUGCUCGGUAUUUGCAGUGUUUUGGCUAGGGGAAGCAAGUUGUGUGUCCGGACCCCCUGGAUGGUGGUUCUAGAUACUAGGACGCUUGUCACAGAGUGGUAGAACAUGCAGGCCCACGGUACGGGACCAGGCUGAGCGGCUACAUGGUUCCGGACCACCCCAGGAGACAAGCGUCUCUUCUCUAGUUUCAGACCCCAAGUUGUCGGACCCACAGGACUUAUAGCUCUAAGUACAAGGGUGCUCAUCACGGAGUGUUGGAGUGUGCAAGGUUUUGGGUACGGAACCAGGCUAACCGGCCGCACAGGCUCCGGACCACCCCAUGAAACGAGCACUCGUUCCUCAGAGCCGGCCCCCAGACUGUCGGGUCCCCCCUGCUUUCACAUAGAGGUCCUAAACUACAACUCUGGCUGUUCAAUCCAGAUGUCAUUAUGCCUGGUGGGAUGGGAGCAGGGCAGGUGGGUUAGAUAAAACACUAUCAGAAACUGCAGGGUGAGACCGUGGAGCAGUAGGAAAUUGCUAUCAUAGAGGCAUAUCUUGAGAGGGUAGUUUUCCUUUAUAGCUAAUCAUGCAUGGGUGCAGGCCAACAGGCCGGGUUUAUGGGGCACACCCUACCGGGUUGGCACACCCGUGUGCACUACCUAGUUACAAAAAGGGAAAAACUUUGACCCCUUAGACUUGCUCUAUAGAUAAAACUUACAGAGAUAUUUUGACAUUGGGGGAGGCAUUCCUUCAGUCGUAGCUAGACAGUUGCCCUUGGGUCGGGGUACUCACAUUACCAUGAAGGGUCCUUCCCAGCUGGGGGAGUGUUACGGAGCCCUAAUUUGGUCUGGUACCUUUGUAGGAUUAGGUCCCGACCCUGGGUUCCCAUCUGCAUUUGACGAAGGAGGCCCCGCCUUUGGCUGUGGUCAUUCCUGGAUGAACCUAUCAGAAAGCUGGACCCGUGGGGAAUCCAGAUGGGUUUCUGGAGGAAGGUUGUCACACCCGGUUUUGGAAGGCAAACCGAAUGCGAACUAUGUACGUGCCAGGAUCAGAAUUCACGUACACAGCGAUUACAUAAAUGAACAUCAUCGCACAGUGCUCGAAUAAAAACAUGAAAGGGUAUUAACUUAUUACAUCACAGAGUCAUAGACAUCCACAUAGUCAUCAACUUAACAGUUAAAUCAAAGUGCUAGCGAAACACAGUAAAGAUAAGGCCUUCACAGGCAGCUGACUGGGGGUUGCCGCCAACCCACACCUAGAAUUCGUCGUAGUCUUGAAACUCCUGGAAGUCUCCUUCCACGACUUCGUCUUCUCCUGAGCAGUGGUUGCAAUGUGGACAACCUGGUGUUUGGUGGUAAAGCAAGGAUGAGUACACAUCAACGUACUCAGCAAAUGUCCCGUUUGGCUGAAGUGGACUAGCUUUAUGUGGGGCUAGGCUCAAGCAGUUGCUUUUAGUUGGUCAGGUAUUUAUUAUUAGUAGGAGCCAGGUUUUAUCAUAAAACCCAAGUUAUAAUCCCAAAAAGUACUUCCUCAGAGAAGAAAUACUAGAAAACAUAAUUAAAGUCACCAUCUGAAGUGUAUCCGGAGUAUCUCUAAUCAAAGAGGAUCCCAAGGCUGCUCUUAACCGUGAGCACGGCUGAUAUACUAGUUUCACUACCCUCUGCAGAGGUCGCACACUUUACCCAUGAGCCGUGAUUCCCUCUCUAGCCCGGGCUUGCAAGACCCUUAUUCACUCCCAAGGUGAAUGGCCAGGGAUUCACUACGAAGCCUUUACAAAGAUUCCCUAGAGGUCAUAGCUGCCCGUUAGGUUUCUCCAGUUUGAUAAACACAGUACCUCUCCCCGCAGGAAGGUGACUAAAAAGCAAAACGAAAGAACCUCGGCACUCAGCCUCGGUAGAGCAAGCACUGUGCCUGGACCCCAUUGACGGCACGACGGCGAAGCAACUACACUUCUAGUUCCUCUAAUUAAUUAGCUAAGGGCACCCCAUUCCACCCUCAUGGUUGCACUGUUAUCCCGGGUGGUCUCUCAACGAACAGGUCCUUAUGGAGAGGUACUCGAGAAACUGCUCGAGUCCCCUAAAUGCCACAAGUACAUCAUCAUAUCCAGAAUAAAAUCAUAGUAUCAUCAUUGUAUCUCAUAAUGUUCAUUGAUUAAAGUAAAGCGCUAGCAUGUAGCUAACCAUAGUAACCCAAAAGGUAAAUCAAGGACAAGGUGAAUAGAAAGCUAGUAAAUCCUUAGGUUUCAAUUAAGUAAUGCGGGAUAGUGAAUUAUAAGUGAAUAGGACAUAAUGGGUCAGAGGACACUUGCCUUCACCAAAUAGAUGCUCAGGGUCUUCAACCUUGCAGAACUCGAAGAACCAGGUCACUUGGUCACCGAAGCUUGACCGUCGAUUCCUCGAAGCUCGAAAACGGAUCAUAAUCUAAUCGCAACGCGAAGCGAAGACAAACAGGCACAAGCAAACAAACAUAUAUAUGCAUAAGAACGUUACACCAUGCCAAAGAGAACAUAAUAAAAACAUGCAAUACGAAAUAGAGCUCGCUACUACGGUCACGCAAGGAAAAGAACACGAUAGUCUGAGCUAUGGUCGAGAGGUUAUGACGUUUACGCUACGCUAGUAAUAGUCAGGACAUUUAAUUCGACAUUUUCAAAUAUAACUUAUAACUGUCAUUUAGUUUUGAUUAAAUUUAUUACACUAAUAGCUGUCAAAUAAGUAAGUAAUAUAGUUAGCACGAGAGAUUUUAAGCGAGGUGAGUUUACGAUGCAGGAAAAAGCAUGACAUAGCACGCUGACAACACACCAAACGAUGCGCGCGACCAGCGUGAACGACGCGCGAACCAGCACGCCACCACGAGCACAUUACGCGUGAACAGCGUGCAGACAGUGCGACGAUGUGUGAUACUCGCUAACAUAUAACGAGACUAUACUAACCAAGUAUUAAAUGAAAAGUGUUUAAGUUGGUGUUCAUCAAGUUAACAUUUAUCUAUAAAAUCGUGAGUUAGAAAUUAUAAACUAGUUUUAAUUAGAAGACCAUUUUUAAUAAGUAUUGAAUGAACAAAUAAUUAAAUAAUUAAAUAAUUAAAACUUGUGACAUGAUAAAAUACAUUACUAAUACGAAAUCGACGCGACUGAACAAUUAAUUUAGAACAAACACGUUAUGCCGCAGCGAAUCGAUAUCAUGUCUACACUAACCAAACAUAAAUGGUAGACUAACCAAACAUGAAUGAAAACGCUUCGGAUUGAUACAACUACCUUAAUAGAUAUUAACGAAGCGUAGAAUUAAAAUUACAAAUUUGUUUUCGGUUGAAUUGUUAUUUUAAUAACCGACCACUAAACAACUAAUUACUAAUUAAUAAUUUAACAUGCAUGAAGUGGCGAAAUGAUUUUACUAAAACGCGCAACUAGCGAUUUGCGUGAAAGACGGCACGAGCGAAACAUACGAGAAAUACUAAAUAGAGAGUGUGUUUAUACUAAAGAAGUAUUAUUUCGAAAACAUUCUAUUAGACGUAAUUAUAUUAACAUGUAUUUAUAAAGUGAAUCUAAACUAUAAAUGAGUUCAAUUAAUUGCUACUUUAAUAAUUGUCAGAUAAAUAGAUGACCAAUUAAUUAACAUUAGAAAGUGCAUGAUGAUAAAGUAAUGUUACCUAAUACAUCGUUAAUAUAGCUCUACGAAGCUAACACAAAAGAAAUAAGUCGAAACGGAUUUACAACACAAAUAUAUUGGAUAUUUAAUGGUUCGCGGAAUCUAAACGAUGUGGCACGCAACAGCGCGCGCAAACCGCACGUGAACAGUAACAAUGACACAUGCGGAUAGCACAAGCAGUCCGUGCGACAACUCGCGGGCAGUGCACGGGCAACAGCGCAAGACGCGAACUCGCAAACGCUACAAAGAUGCGACGACGUGCGCGAACAACACGACAAGCGGGAAAUCAUUAACAGAUAUCGUGCUUAGAAUGAACACAUAUUAAACAAAUAUAAACAUUUAAUUUGGCUUAAAUCAUGUUAACGUCCAUUUACACGUGCGCAAAUUAAAACUAUACAUUAGUUUUAAUUAGAUCUCUACUUUAACAUCCAUCAGAUAAACAAACAAACAAUUAAUUAGUUAAAACACUUGUCACGAUAAAAUAAUAUUAUUAACUCGCCGGUAACGUUAUUACAAAGCUAAUGCAAGUUGAACAAAGGGAAUCGAAUUUUAUAACGCAACAUAUAUUAAUUAUUUAGUACUUCACUGAUUUUAAACGACGUGGCUAAUUAUUAUUGGUUAGAGGCUGGCCACACCUAUGGUCACACGAAACACAGCCAUAGAGGAUCCCAAGCUUAGGAUCACAUGUGGCUAGCUUCUUCUCUGUUGUAACCGCACAACGCAGAACGCACGACGGUUCUUCUUCCUUGGAGUUUGGACAGGAAAACUGGCAUGGGGAAGAGGGAAGGAGGGGCCAGCUGAGGCCUCACCGGCCAGCUAGCCAGGCCGCCGCGGGGUAGAGGGAGUUGGGUCUGGCCGCUAGCCGGGCCACGCCGCGGCUGCCAGGUUGGGGCGCCGGGCGAGGGCGCUGAUGGACGGACGGCUGGUCGCGGUGCGCGGCGGCUCGCCGGGGCUGCUGGUCGCCACGCCGGGCAAGCCGUGCCUGUUGCUGCGCGCGCUGGCCGCUGCGCUGGGUGAGCCACCGGCUGGCCGCGCCGAGGACGAGGCCAGGCUCGCGCGCCAGCCUAGGGAGCUCGUCGGGGAAGGGCCUCAGCCAUGGCUACGGCACGGCGGCGUACCGCGAGCAGGGCCCGAGGGGCUCCCCGCCGGGGCCAGGGAGAGGGAUGGGAGAAGAACGCGUGGGGAGGGAGAGGAAGAAGGAUCCGUGAGUACCUGGUAACAGUCGCCCUUCACGCCUGCGAUCUGGAUCUGGGGAAACGAUCUGGAUCUGGGGGAAGUCAGGAGGUUUUGCGAUGGCUAGAGUAGUAUUUGUAGAAAAGAGAGGAUGUGGAAGGCGGUUGUAAAAUUUGUCGCAGGUUGCGUCCUGGCCGAGCCAAAGCGACGAUCGCGCGAUGAGUUGCACGAUACAGUAAACGACGGAGACCGAGUUAGGCAGAGGUAGGCGAUGGUAGAUGAAAUAAAGGGGUAACAGGUGUGCGAGCAGCAAACGUUCACGAGGAGGAAAUCCGGUUUGACGACCUCGCGAAAAUGACACAAAUCAUAGAACGAGUUCGACGAGAGGAACACAU